CCUACGGGAGGCAGCAGUGGGGAAUCUUCCGCAAUGGACGAAAGUCUGACGGAGCAACGCCGCGUGAGUGAUGAAGGUUUUCGGACUGUAAAACUCUGUUGUUUAGGACGAAAGUGCCUGUUGCAAAUAGUUGCAGGUAUUGACGGUACUGAACGAGGAAGCCACGGCUAACUACGUGCCAGCAGCCGCGGUAAU
rnacentral:rRNA from 1 species